UACGUAGGGUGCGAGCGUUAAUCGGAAUUACUGGGCGUAAAGAGUGCGUAGGCGGUUCGUUAUGUCUGCUGUGAAAGCCCCGGGCUUAACCCGGGAAUGGCAGUGGAAACUGGCGGGCUUGAGUGUGGCAGAGGGGGGUGGAAUUCCGCGUGUAGCAGUGAAAUGCGUAGAGAUGCGGAGGAACACCGAUGGCGAAGGCAGCCCCCUGGGCUAACACUGACGCUGAGGCGCGAAAGCGUGGGGAGCAAACAGG
rnacentral:rRNA from 1 species